rnacentral:rRNA from 1 species
CCCUUAGACGUUCUGGGCCGCACGCGCGCUACUCUGACCAGUGCAACAAGCAUCCGUCCUUGGCCGACAGGCCCGGGCAAUCUUUGAACGCUGGUCGUGAUGGGGAUAGACUUUUGCAAUUUUUGGUCUUCAACGAGGAAUUCCUAGUAAACGCAAGUCAUCAACUUGCAUUGAUUACGUCCCUGCCCUUUGUACACACCGCCCGUCGCACCUACCGAUUGAAUGGUCCGGUGAAGCCUCCGGAUUGGCGCGCACCUCGGUGCCGCCGAGAAGUUGGCUAAACCUUACCAUUUAGAGGAAGGUGAANUCGUAACA